rnacentral:rRNA from 1 species
CGGACGGGUGAGUAACGCGUGAGAAUCUAGCUCUAGGUCGGGGACAACCACUGGAAACGGUGGCUAAUACCGGAUGUGCCGAAAGGUGAAAGAUUUAUUGCCUAGAGAUGAGCUCGCGUCUGAUUAGCUAGUUGGUGUGGUAAGAGCGCACCAAGGCGACGAUCAGUAGCUGGUCUGAGAGGAUGAUCAGCCACACUGGGACUGAGACACGGCCCAGACUCCUACGGGAGGCAGCAGUGGGGAAUUUUCCGCAAUGGGCGAAAGCCUGACGGAGCAAUACCGCGUGAGGGAGGAAGGCUCUUGGGUUGUAAACCUCUUUUCUCAGGGAAUAAGAAAGUGAAGGUACCUGAGGAAUAAGCAUCGGCUAACUCCGUGCCAGCAGCCGCGGUAAUACGGAGGAUGCAAGCGUUAUCCGGAAUGAUUGGGCGUAAAGCGUCCGCAGGUGGCACUGUAAGUCUGCUGUUAAAGAGCAAGGCUCAACCUUGUAAAGGCAGUGGAAACUACAGAGCUAGAGUACGUUCGGGGCAGAGGGAAUUCCUGGUGUAGCGGUGAAAUGCGUAGAGAUCAGGAAGAACACCGGUGGCGAAAGCGCUCUGCUAGGCCGUAACUGACACUGAGGGACGAAAGCUAGGGGAGCGAAUGGGAUUAGAUACCCCAGUAGUC